rnacentral:rRNA from 1 species
GACGUAGGGUGCAAGCGUUGUCCGGAUUUACUGGGCGUAAAGAGCGCGUAGGCGGCUCGUUAAGUGAGAAGUGAAAGCUGUGGGCUCAACCCACAAACCGCUUUUCAUACUGGCGAGCUGGAGUGAUGCAGAGGUGGAUAGAAUUCCCGGUGUAGCGGUGAAAUGCGUUGAUAUCGGGAGGAAUACCCCGUGGCGAAGGCGGGUCCACUGGGCAUCAACUGACGCUGAGGCGCGAAAGCGUGGGUAGCAAACAGG